rnacentral:rRNA from 1 species
UACGUAGGGUGCGAGCGUUGUCCGGAAUUACUGGGCGUAAAGAGCUCGUAGGUGGUUUGUCGCGUUUGUCCGUGAAAACUCACAGCUUAACUGUGGGCGUGCGGGCGAUACGGGCAGACUGGAGUACUGCAGGGGAGACUGGAAUUCCUGGUGUAGCGGUGGAAUGCGCAGAUAUCAGGAGGAACACCGGUGGCGAAGGCGGGUCUCUGGGCCGAUACUGACGCUGAGGAGCGAAAGCGUGGGGAGCAAACAGG